AAGCAUCGGUUGCCCCUCUCGUCCACGA
rnacentral:sRNA from 1 species